AACAGGCUAAGGAGUGCUAUUCAAUAUGUCAGCCAGGCACACGUCUCUAAAUACAGUGUUCAGCAGGUACAGCUUUUCUAAAAGAAAAGUCAGGGGGCUGUUCCCGGAGGGGCACAGACUUUUGUUUUUAAGUCUGGGAACAGGAGCAGGGAUCCUUGGCGUGCAGACACGGGGUUCUCCAUAUUUAGCGCUGGGAGCAGCUCGCGCCCUUUCUUUCUGCCUGUCUUCACCCUCGUCCUGCUCCUCCCCUUCCCCUGCUGCCACCGGUUUCUAUCUCCAUUGUUCCCCUAAGCCCAGCAGCCAGUGUGCAGCCAGGCCCAGCACACGCUCCCGCAGCCAGCAACUUCCUCUGAAGCUGCAACGCAUAAUUACAACCAGCUGCUCCUGGCUGCUGGCUGGCCAGCUCUGCAAACAGGCAUCCUGAUACCCUGAGUUCCAGGGAGGAAGCAGCCUGCUUUUGGCAGGAGCAAAUUCUCCGAAGGAAGUGCCCACACCCUUGGAAGAACAGGGAGCAGCCCUUCUCUCUCGUGUAGCUCCCAGAGGCCAGCGUUCCCCUGUCUGGUCUCCUCUCUCUUCCAUGUCAGAGAGAGUCAUUUUUAUUGUUAAUAGGAAGGUGUCUGCUUUGUCACCUGCAGCUGCCCUGGCCCUGUGGCCUAUUGUCUGAGCUGGUGCCACCUCAAGCAGGAUGGCAUGUGCUAGGCCUAACUCGGGGGGCAGUAGCAUGGGGGACCCAGGCUUUUCGUUGGCAUCUCAGCUGCGUCAGUUUGCAAACAUGUGCACUGCCCUUAGCUAGCAGGAGGUGAAAAGACAAGUGGCGUGGCUUUAAAACAACACCAGUGAAAAUCCAAACAAGUCUAACUUGACCUCCCCAAGGAGAACAGCAUGUGGGCAAGAGAGCUGAGGAUUCACCCAGGACCUGCCUCAGAGCUGGGGGUUCAUUUUGGGGCCUUAGUGAUCUUUCAGGCUUGCCUACAAGUAUGACUCUGAUCCAAAAUUAGGCUUUGAAUGUGUAACACAAGGCUCCCUGCCCCACCCACCGCCUCCCUCUGCCCUGUGCCGUUUCUUCAGAGCCUGGCUCUGGGCCAGAUCUGGCCCUUCUGGCUCCUGGGGGAAGGGCUGGAUGCAGUGUUCUGUUUCCAGGCAGGGCUUUAGGGUGGGUGAAGGUGAUUGCACUAUUCAGGAAGGGGUGCGGAGGUGAUACGCUUGGGAAGGGCACCCAACCCUCAAAUGCCUCACCCCAUCAACCCAAAGCUGGAGAAGACUUAGGGCAGUGCGCAUUGCUUAUGCCCACCUGUGCCUUCCAGCUUGGGCUUCUAAUAGGCCUUCGACAGCGAGAGAGCCAAGCCAUGUGGGCCGGCCACUCUGUCAAGCCCAACAGCAGCCUCAGAGGUGGGGAGCAGCUGGGAGUCUGCUGUGGAAAAGGAGCUGCUUGUUCUAUAGGGCAAUUUCUCAGGGAUGCUCACCCUGGCAGUGGCAGCUCAAGUGGGGCAGACGGGAGCGUCUUUGAGAGGGUUUGUUCUUUCUGUGUGAGCUUCGGCAGCCCGGCCACGGCCAGCAGCAGUGGGCUAGCUAUCCCUCAUGUUGAGAAACAGAGAAAGCUCCCUUUCACAGCUUUCGCUGUUUCACUGUUUGAAAAUCUCAGUAGAACUUUUUCUGCAAAGUGGUACCAGGCAGGGGGUACUUACUCAGAAGGAGUUGUAAUAGCAACCUGGAUUGGCCAAGGGCGUGCAGAGAACUCGAGUCAUAGCUGAAUGUGUGCAAACAAUGGAGUUAGUGCCUCCUCAGCUGUAGCUUGUCUGAGUUUCCGCAUCAGCCUCUGAUAAUCUUUGCAAUUUAAUUCCCCACAGAAAAAAAAAAAACCUGUUCAAAGUGCUCUUUUGGUGUUCAACUCAUGCUUUCCCUUCUGAUUCUUCAGCCUGGAUACACUUUGGAAGCACAUACAAAGCAAAUGCGUGUCUGUAAUAGCAUCACGACGCGGCUAUUUCAGCCUGAAUAUGACUCGUGCAGCUUGACUGGCUCCUCCACUUAGAGCCGUUUGGAGGUCCUGAUGACUCAGUAAUGUGAUUUUUGGCAGGUUUUUCUUCGGGCUUGCAAUGAGGAACAAGCUUAACAAGCAAACAGUCAUGUCUGAGCUCUCAGUUCACCGCAAACCAUACUUGAGAACGUCGGGAUGAGAGCGUGGCUUUAGAGGGCUCCGCUCCCCGAGAAGGAAUGUGGAGAAGGCACCUACAGCCCUGUGGUAUCAGUCCAGCCAUUGAAGUGGGUUUCAUGGAAAACCAUCCACCGACAAAGAAAGAAACGCAAGUACUUUCUUCAGAUGGAGAAACUGAAGCACGAAGAGGUGAAGUGAGGUCACCAAGGGAGCAGGUAGGUAACAAAAUGGACAUGACAUGAGCACAGACAGGAUAUGGAGAAGAGAGGAUGAAGCCUGAACAACCUUGCCUGCACUAUUCAAUACAUUAGCCGCACGCCAUGUCUGGAUAUUUUAAUUAAAAUUAAAUGAAAUUAAAAGUUUAGUUCCUCA
rnacentral:lncRNA from 1 species